GGUAAACCAAAAAAAAACGGGAAGACCUCCAAAACCAUCGAAACAAGAAAAUAGUCAUGAAGCUGAGAAGAUUGCAAACUCAGUAAUUGAGACCAAUUCUAAAGAUGAUACUCACGAAACAGUUGUUAGAAAUGAUAGAAAAAAA